rnacentral:rRNA from 1 species
GCAUCCAUGUCUUAUAAUUGGAAUGAGUAGAACUUUAAAUCCCUUUUCGAGUAUCAAUUGGAGGGCAAGUCUGGUGCCAGCAGCCGCGGUAAUUCCAGCUCCAAUAGCGUAUAUUAAAGUUGUUGCAGUUAAAAAGCUCGUAGUUGGAUUUCUGGGAGGGUGCCGCCGUCCGGCGUGUCCGUGUGCAGUGGCGCCCUUCCAUCCUUCUGUUAGCGUCUCUUGGCAUUCAUUUGCUGGCGGCGGGCUCAGAUAUUUUACCUUGAGAAAAUUAGAGUGUUUCAGGCAGGCUAGGCCGGAAUACAUUAGCAUGGAAUAGUGGAAUAGGACUACGGUCUCUUUGUUGGUUUGAGGGACUGCAGUAAUGAUUAAUAGGGAUAGUUGGGGGCAUUAGUAUUUAAUUGUCAGAGGUGGAAUUCUCAGAUUUGUUAAAGACUAACUUAUGCGAAAGCAUUUGCCAAGGAUGUUUUCAUUGAUCAAGAACGAAAGUUAGGGGAUCGAAG